rnacentral:tRNA from 1 species
GCCACUUUAGCUUAGCGGCAGAGCGUCUGCUUUGAAAGCAGAAGGUCGUCUGUUCAAUCCUGGCAAGUGGCU